rnacentral:rRNA from 1 species
UACAGAGGGGGCAAGCGUUGUUCGGAAUCACUGGGCGUAAAGGGCUCGUAGGUGGCCAACUAAGUCAGACGUGAAAUCCCUCGGCUUAACCGGGGAACUGCGUCUGAUACUGGAUGGCUUGAGAUUGGGAGAGGGAUGCGGAAUUCCAGGUGUAGCGGUGAAAUGCGCAGAUAUCAGGAGGAACACCGGUGGCGAAGGCGGGUCUCUGGGCCGGUACUGACGCUGAGACGCGAAAGCGUGGGGAGCAAACAGG